UGCAUUCACUACUGUAAGUCGCUCUGGAUAAGAGCGUCUGCUAAAUGACUGAAG
rfam:Salmo salar isolate Sally breed double haploid chromosome ssa03, whole genome shotgun sequence.